UUACUUUGGCAGAUUAGUGCUUUAAAUUUAGAAUUUAAAAAUGUAUGAUUAUUACAGGUAAUAU
rnacentral:tRNA from 1 species